rnacentral:rRNA from 1 species
GACGAACGCUGGCGGCGUGCUUAACACAUGCAAGUCGAACGGUAAGGCCCUUCGGGGUACACGAGUGGCGAACGGGUGAGUAACACGUGGGUGAUCUGCCCUGCACUUCGGGAUAAGCCUGGGAAACUGGGUCUAAUACCGGAUAGGACUCCGGACUGCAUGGUCUGGGGUGGAAAGCUUUUGCGGUGUGGGAUGGGCCCGCGGCCUAUCUGCUUGUUGGUGGGGUGAUGGCCUACCAAGGCGACGACGGGUAGCCGGCCUGAGAGGGUGACCGGCCACACUGGGACUGAGAUACGGCCCAGACUCCUACGGGAGGCAGCAGUGGGGAAUAUUGCACAAUGGGCGCAAGCCUGAUGCAGCGACGCCGCGUGAGGGAUGACGGCCUUCGGGUUGUAAACCUCUUUCAGCAUCGACGAAGCGAAAGUGACGGUAGGUGCAGAAGAAGGACCGGCCAACUACGUGCCAGCAGCCGCGGUAA